UACGGAGGGUGCAAGCGUUAAUCGGAAUUACUGGGCGUAAAGCGUGCGCAGGCGGUGAUGUAAGGCAGAUGUGAAAUCCCCGGGCUCAACCUGGGAACUGCAUUUGUGACUGCACGGCUGGAGUGCGGCAGAGGGGGAUGGAAUUCCGCGUGUAGCAGUGAAAUGCGUAGAUAUGCGGAGGAACACCGAUGGCGAAGGCAAUCCCCUGGGCCUGCACUGACGCUCAUGCACGAAAGCGUGGGGAGCAAACAGG
rnacentral:rRNA from 1 species